CAGAGAAUCGUUUACUGCAAACUGAGCAGGCAAAAGGUUUCUCUCCAGUGUGCGUUCUCGCGUGUGCUUCCAAAUGUCCCUUCUGAGUGAAUCGUUUACCGCAAACCGAGCAGACAAAAGGUUUCUCUCCGGUGUGUGAUCUCAUGUGACUUGUCAAG